UACGUAGGGUGCGAGCGUUGUCCGGAAUUACUGGGCGUAAAGAGCUCGUAGGUGGUUUGUCGCGUUGUUCGUGAAAUCUCACGGCUUAACUGUGAGCGUGCGGGCGAUACGGGCAGACUAGAGUACUGCAGGGGGAGACUGGAAUUCCUGGUGUAGCGGUGGAAUGCGCAGAUAUCAGGAGGAACACCGAUGGCGAAGGCAGAUCUCUGGGCCGUAACUGACGCUGAGGAGCGAAAGCAUGGGGGAGCGAACAGG
rnacentral:rRNA from 1 species